UGUGGACCAACGAUUCAUCUAGAAGUGUAUCCCCUACUACUGAAGAGACCUUGAAUCACCUCGGCUGCAGUGUGAUUCUUCUCUUCAAUUUCUACAGUCCCUGUGUCAGCAAAAGUUGUUUCGGGAAUGCAUUGUUAACAAACAGGUUAUUUAUAAGUCAAUUUGAGUCCCGAAUCGUUCGUGCUGCAUCAGAAGAUCAUUUAUUCCAUGAGCUUGGGAAGCGGUGGAUU